AUGGCGAGCGCGGAUCUGCUGCGGAGGGAGGAGGAGUUCUACGAGUCCCUGUUCGAUUCCGCCAAAGGCGAUGCCGCUGCCGCCAAGACGCGUGGGCAGAUGAUUGAGAGGAAGAUUGAAGCCUUGGAGGACAUGGCAACCAAGGUUAGUAACCGGAGGUCUCGCAGAUGGUUGAAUGAUCGCUUGCUGAUUGAGCUCGUCCCUCGUCUUCAUGUUGAAGAAAUCAAAGGCCUCUUUGCCCCUCCGCCAUUUGGUGAGGAAGCACCACUGUCAGCAUUUUGCAGGACAAGUGUUGGUGAGUGGGAUGCCUUCAGGAGCAUUGACAUGGACGUUGAGGCAAGAUUUAUGCAACGGAUGAAACAAUCCUCAGCUAAGCAGAAGAAUCUUGUGAAUGAAGAUGAGUCAAUUGUGCUGAAUGCUUGGCGCCGUAUAGAUUGCCAAACAAGAGAAGCUAUGAAGAGAAACUUCCUACCUGAACUGCUUGAAAUAUAUGAGGAACGGAUCAGGGCCUUCAUUGAAGACACUACCGAUAAAGAUGUGCUUGUGUUGAAUGUCCAGGACCCAUUUCAGAGGUUGCUAUUACAUGGUGUGUGCGAGUUCUACAACGUAACGUCUACGACAACGGGUACUGUGCAAGAUGGAAAGCCGUGGAAGACGACAACAAUCAAGAAGCGUUCGGGGACGGGUGUUGCCCCCAUGAUCACAUUGGUUAGUUUCCUGAGAACAAAGAAGAAUGGGUCACACGUUGCCUCGUGA
rnacentral:rRNA from 1 species